GUAAAUAACAGCACAAAGCAAUGGUAUGAAGAACAGUAGUACAAUAGAGGUCAUAUAUUGUCACAUCAAUCAGUUUGGUCUUUAUAAGGUACUUGGGAAAUAAAUAGGAGAGGAGCUGUUAGACGCUCUAAGAAACACAUCCAAGUCCAUCCAAUGUUCACCACAGCACAGGCAGCAGGAUCACAGUUACAGUAGGAGAGGUGGGGCUGCGUUGCUAAUCUGAUUGAUGAAGCAUGGAUUCUCUAGCCUGGUCAAGCUCAUUCCAAGACAGAUACAGUCAAAAUUAAAAAAUUAAAAACAUUAUCUAUAUCUGCUAUUUUCUACUAUACUCAAUGUCGUGUUCAAUUUCAACAUAAUGUGUCCCUUGCAUACCUGCUGUGUUAAUGAAUUAUAAUAAUGGACUAUUGUUGCAUUGAAUUAAUAAUAUUACCGCAAUUAGCCCGACUAACCGGUGCCCCAGCACAUUGAUUCUGUACCAGUACCCCCUGUAUAUAGCCUCCACAUUGACUCUGUACCGGUACCCCCUGUAUAUAGACUCCACAUUGACUCUGUACCGGUACCCCCUGUAUAUAACCUCCACAUUGACUCUGUACUGGUACCCCCUGUAUAUAGACUCCACAUUGACUCUACAGGUACCCCCUGUAUAUAGCCUCCACAUUGACUCUAUACCGGUACCCCCUGUAUAUAGCCUCCACAUUGACUCUGUACCGGUACCCCCUGUAUAUAGCCUCCACAUUGACUCUGUACCAGUACCCCCUGUAUAUAGCCUCCACAUUGACUCUGUACCAGUACCCCC
ensembl:lncRNA